UGAUUGAUCCGUUCGUUUACGUCCGUAAAAUUUCGCGCGCGAUUGGCAUUGGCAUAUUAAUUUUGUUUUGUUUUCCCUAACCUAUAGAUUACAGAUUUUAUUUUUUUUGCUUUGCUUCCUGAAUGAUUUAAUUAUCGCCGAUAAUUAUUAUUUAUAUAGAUUUUGCCACUAUUUGAGUGCUCACAGCAAUAAUAGUGCUUAGUGUUGACUCCGUUGUCUAUAAUAUUCGGUUCUACGCUAAUUUUGAGUUCAAAAACAAACAUUUUAGUGUUUGAUUUUCAAUUUCUAGUAAACUAUCCAGUGAUUUCUUUCCUCUAUAAUUUCUUGUUUAGCUGCUGCAGUAUCUGUUUACGAUAAUUAUGGCAACACUUAGCCAACAAAAUGAAAUCUGCGAAGUCUGUGAGAAGGAAUUUUCAAGCACAUCCAUGAGAAACAGACAUCUUUAAGAAGUUUCACCCAGAAUUUUUUGGCCAGGAAUACAAGAAACACAUUAUAUGUCCAAUGUGUACCAACGAUACCUAGACAUUUUCUUAUUUUAAUAGUUUAAACAAACAUUUUUGUUUAAUAUUCGCAAAAUAAAGAUUAAACAAUCAUUUUUAAAUUUUAGGUAUUUUGAAGAAUAUACCUCUUAUAGAGAACAAAGUAAUAGGGCAGUCGAUUAUGCUUGUCAGACCUAAAAUAAAUUUAAGAAUGGAGAGGAACAUAUUUUUACAAUUGUAACAGGAGCAACAUCAGAGGAUUUAAUAGCUCAUGUAAAAUGAGAAACAUUAAGUCUGGGGGAAACAUACGCAUCAAGGAACAUGCCCAUCAAGAACUUUAGUUAAGGUUUUAAAGAAUAAUAUUGCAUUAAUUUUUAUAUUCCUAGACUAGUUCAUAAUUUUAAUCCUUUGUAGGAUCAGAAGUGCUAGUUUACAGACCAAGCUUGAUGG